GACGAACGCUGGCGGCGUGCCUAAUACAUGCAAGUAGAACGCACAGUUUAUACCGUAGCUUGCUACACCAUAAACUGUGAGUUGCGAACGGGUGAGUAACGCGUAGGUAACCUGCCUGGUAGCGGGGGAUAACUAUUGGAAACGAUAGCUAAUACCGCAUAUUAUUGAUUAUUGCAUGAUAAUUGAUUGAAAGAUGCUAUUGCAUCACUACCAGAUGGACCUGCGUUGUAUUAGCUAGUAGGUGAGGUAACGGCUCACCUAGGCGGCGAUACAUAGCCGACCUGAGAGGGUGAUCGGCCACACUGGGACUGAGACACGGCCCAGACUCCUACGGGAGGCAGCAGUAGGGAAUCUUCGGCAAUGGACGAAAGUCUGACCGAGCAACGCCGCGUGAGUGAAGAAGGUUUUCGGAUCGUAAAGCUCUGUUGUAAGAGAAGAACGGGUGUGAGAGUGGAAAGUUCACACUGUGACGGUAUCUUACCAGAAAGGGACGGCUAACUACGUG
rnacentral:rRNA from 1 species